UGGGGAAUUUUGGACAAUGGGCGAAAGCCUGAUCCAGCAAUGCCGCGUGUGUGAAGAAGGCCUUCGGGUUGUAAAGCACUUUUGUCCGGAAAGAAAUCCUUGGCUCUAAUACAGUCGGGGGAUGACGGUACCGGAAGAAUAAGCACCGGCUAACUACGUGCCAGCAGCCGCGGUAAUACGUAGGGUGCAAGCGUUAAUCGGAAUUACUGGGCGUAAAGCGUGCGCAGGCGGUUUGCUAAGACCGAUGUGAAAUCCCCGGGCUCAACCUGGGAACUGCAUUGGUGACUGGCAGGCUAGAGUAUGGCAGAGGGGGGUAGAAUUCCACGUGUAGCAGUGAAAUGCGUAGAGAUGUGGGGGAAUACCGAUGGCGAAGGCAGCCCCCCUGGGCCAAUACUGACGCUCAUGCACGAAAGCGUGGGGAGCAAACAGGAUUAGAUACCCUGGUAGUCCACGCCCUAAACGAUGUCAACUAGUUGUUGGGGAUUCAUUUCCUUAGUAACGUAGCUAACGCGUGAAGUUGACCGCCUGGGGAGUACGGUCGCAAGAUUAAAACUCAAA
rnacentral:rRNA from 1 species